rnacentral:rRNA from 1 species
GAUGAACGCUAGCGGCAGGCUUAAUACAUGCAAGUCGUGGGGCAGCAUGAAGUAGCAAUACUUUGAUGGCGACCGGCAAACGGGUGCGGAACACGUACACAACCUUCCUUUUAGUGGGGAAUAGCCCAGAGAAAUUUGGAUUAAUACCCCGUAACAUAGCGAUGUGGCAUCACAUUGCUAUUAUAGCUUCGGCGCUAGAUGAUGGGUGUGCGUAUGAUUAGAUAGUUGGCGAGGUAACGGCUCACCAAGUCUACGAUCAUUAGCUGAUGUGAGAGCAUGAUCAGCCACACGGGCACUGAGACACGGGCCCGACUCCUACGGGAGGCAGCAGUAAGGAAUAUUGGUCAAUGGACGAAAGUCUGAACCAGCCAUGCCGCGUGAAGGAUUAAGGUCCUCUGGAUUGUAAACUUCUUUUAUAUGGGACGAAAAAAGGUCUUUCUAGAUCACUUGACGGUACCAUAUGAAUAAGCACCGGCUAACUCCGUGCCAGCCGCCGCCUAAGAC